rnacentral:rRNA from 1 species
CCAGACUCCUACGGGAGGCAGCAGUGGGGAAUAUUGGGCAAUGGGCGCAAGCCUGACCCAGCAACGCCGCGUGAAGGAAGAAGGCUUUCGGGUUGUAAACUUCUUUUCUCAGGGACGAAGAAAGUGACGGUACCUGAGGAAUAAGCCACGGCUAACUACGUGCCAGCAGCCGCGGUAAUACGUAGGUGGCAAGCGUUAUCCGGAUUUAUUGGGUGUAAAGGGCGUGUAGGCGGGAGCGCAAGUCAGAUGUGAAAACUCAGGGCUCAACCCUGAGCCUGCAUUUGAAACUGUGUUUCUUGAGUGCUGGAGAGGCAAUCGGAAUUCCGUGUGUAGCGGUGAAAUGCGUAGAUAUUAGGAGGAACACCAGUGGCGAAGGCGGCCUGCUGGACGAUGACUGACGUUGAGGCUCGAAAGCGUGGGGAGCAAACAGGAUUAGAUACCCCGGUAUA